UGUUGGUGACUUCACAAUAUACAUAGCAAUGUAAAGGAAUAUGAUCAUCCAAGACAAUACUGAAAUCCAACAAAGUCAGAGACCUUCAUUCAGCAAAUUGCAAGAUAAGAUACUACAAAUUCUCCUAUCCCGGUUCCUAUCUCCUCCCAAACAUCUGAGGAAAAUUAUCCAAAGGUUUGUCUCCUUACACAGCCACUGUGCUGCAAAAGUCAUGAAUAGAUCUUCCAGUUGACCACCUCAGUUGUUGCACCACAGUGGAUAACCGGAGCACAGAAUGGCCUCCUGAGUCACUUCAGUUUUAAUCCACUAAAAAUUCACUUCUGUUCCUACCACCUAAAAUUGAAAUCCACAUUUUUUGAUAUUCAUUAAAAUCUUAUGGAACUCCUCACAGGCCCUUAGGCAUUUUUUUUUUUUAAACUUUGCUGAAUCAGAAGUAUUUUUUCUCUGUAAAGACUCACUGGUAAACCAGAAGCGUCCUAUAGAGAAUGCAGAAGUCAAUGAGGCGUCCAUUCACUGCUGA